CUGGCGGCGUGCUAUACAUGCAAGUCGAACGGAGUAUUAAGAGAGCUUGCUCUUUUAAUACUUAGUGGCGCACGGGUGAGUAAUGUAUAGUUAAUCUGCCCUACACUGGAGGACAACAGUUAGAAAUGACUGCUAAUACUCCAUACUCCUUCUUAACAUAAGUUAAGUCGGGAAAGUUUUUCGGUGUAGGAUGAGACUAUAUUGUAUCAGCUAGUUGGUAAGGUAAUGGCUUACCAAGGCUUUGACGCAUAACUGGUCUGAGAGGAUGAUCAGUCACACUGGAACUGAGACACGGUCCAGACUCCUACGGGAGGCAGCAGUAGGGAAUAUUGCUCAAUGGGGGAAACCCUGAAGCAGCAACGCCGCGUGGAGGAUGACACUUUUCGGAGCGUAAACUCCUUUUGUUAGGGAAGAACCAUGACGGUACCUAACGAAUAAGCACCGGCUAACUCCGUGCCAGCAGCCGCGGUAAUACGGAGGGUGCAAGCGUUACUCGGAAUCACUGGGCGUAAAGGACGCGUAGGCGGAUUAUCAAGU
rnacentral:rRNA from 1 species